rnacentral:rRNA from 1 species
UGGGGAAUAUUGGACAAUGGGGGCAACCCUGAUCCAGCAAUGCCGCGUGAGUGAUGAAGGCCUUCGGGUUGUAAAGCUCUUUUGGCGGGGACGAUGAUGACGGUACCCGCAGAAUAAGCCCCGGCUAACUUCGUGCCAGCAGCCGCGGUAAUACGAAGGGGGCUAGCGUUGUUCGGAAUUACUGGGCGUAAAGGGCGCGUAGGCGGUUUGAAUCGUCGGAUGUGAAAGGCCUGGGCUCAACCUGGGAACGGCAUCCGAUACGGUCAGACUUGAGUGUGGGAGAGGUUGGUGGAAUUCCCAGUGUAGAGGUGAAAUUCGUAGAUAUUGGGAAGAACACCGGUGGCGAAGGCGGCCAACUGGACCACAACUGACGCUGAGGCGCGAAAGCGUGGGGAGCAAACAGGAUUAGAUACCCUGGUAGUCCACGCUGUAAACGAUGCGUGCUAGACGUUGGGAGCCCUAGGCUCUCGGUGUCGUCGCUAACGCUUUAAGCACGCCGCCUGGGGAGUACGG